rnacentral:lncRNA from 1 species
UUGAUUAUGCAGUUCCUGUGAACUAACAUAUUGAUAAUUAACUUUUGGUCUAACUGCUUCUGAUGAUAUCUAACAUAUGGAAAUUUAGAUUCUAGUAAUUCAAGUUUUGUGAUCCACAUAAUCCUUGAGUUCUGUCCCCUUGUAUUUUCUUGAAAUGAAAAUUCGAAUCAUGUUUCUAUCUAAAGUUGAAUUGCAUUAUCUUUUUUUUUUUUUUGAAAAGUUAAUAUCAUAAUACAACAAGGAUGACCUCACAAGAGCGAACAAUGCUCACAAAAACAGGAAGAAUCCAGAGUAUCAAAAGAAAGAACAAUAAUAAACCCAACAAAAUUAAGAGCAACAAAAACAUAAAAAGUCCAAACAACCCCACAGCCCGAGAACAAGCAGAUAAAACAAAAAUCAAAAGAAAACAAGCUAAAUAAUACCAUAAGCAUCCUCACGCAAAUAAACAACACGAGCACUGAUACAAUAUGGAAUAAGCUGAAACAGAACAAUGAGCAAACGAGCUUGACCACCAUGGAGACAAUGAUUAUGCUCCUUUCACAUAAAAUAAAUCGUAGCACACCAGAGAACAUACCACAACUUCCUUCUCACACCCUUACCAAUACUCUAAUGACAAACCCAAACAACUCAACCCCCCAAUACCCAAUCCUGUGAGAGGAAGCCAUAACCUAAAGGACCCGAGACUAAAUAUCACACCCAAAAGGACAUGAAAAAACAAAUGAUAACGAGACUCUCAAUCCCCACCCCACAAGAAACCUGUCCAACGAACCUUAACACUACGAGAAUGAAUAGUAUCCC